UUUACCUUUCCUCAAUCCAGCAAACUUUUGAACAUAUAAAUACAGUUUUUGCUUUUUCCAAAUACUGGAAUUAAAUGCGAUUUCAGUUAAGUGGGUGGGUGGAUGUGGUCACCGUGAUGAUAUAGGUCUGUGUAUACAUGCACCAGUCCUUUACAAUGAACAGAGGACUGUGCUAGCCUUAUAAUGAGGUGGUCACAUCCUUUUUGGUGUCCGGAUUUACAUGGUGUGGAUCAUGAUGCCAUUGUGUCUGUUGGAAGUGAGGAAGAGUGGACUGGCAGCAGAUGAAGUGGCAUUCUGAAUGGUGUCACUAUAAAUGUGAUGUCAAAUGAGGAGGAUUGCAGCUUUGACGGUGUGUCGCAGUGGAUUGUGCAACCCCAAGUUUCUGUUGGGCGCUGCAGACAAGGCUGGAGGCUAAUCCAAAGUACAAAGCACUGCAUCCCAGGCGUCUGUAAAAUAGAUGAUGUUCUGACAGCCACUACCACAUGACUGUGGUCAGAGGUAGAUGUUUUGUAAAUGGUUUUUCAUAUUUGCCUUUUUAUCAAAUAAAAAGAACUUUUAAUCAA